rnacentral:rRNA from 1 species
UACGUAGGUGGCAAGCGUUGUCCGGAUUUACUGGGCGUAAAGAGCGCGCAGGCGGUCGUGCAAGUCGCGUGUGAAAGCCCCCGGCUCAACUGGGGAGGGUCACGCGAUACUGCUCGACUUGAAGGCAGGAGAGGGAAGUGGAAUUCCCGGUGUAGUGGUGAAAUGUGUAGAGAUCGGGAGGAACACCGGUGGCGAAGGCGGGUCUCUGGGCAAUUCCUGACGCUGAGGCGCGAAAGCGUGGGGAGCAAACGGG